GAUGAACGCUGGCGGCGUGCUUAACACAUGCAAGUCGAGCGAAGCACUUUACUUUGAGAUCUUCGGAAGGAUAAGUUUAGUGACUGAGCGGCGGACGGGUGAGUAACGCGUGGGUAACCUGCCUCACACAGGGGGAUAACAGUUAGAAAUGACUGCUAAUACCGCAUAAGACCACAGCACCGCAUGGUGCAGGGGUAAAAACUCCGGUGGUGUGAGAUGGACCCGCGUCUGAUUAGCUAGUUGGCAGGGUAACGGCCUACCAAGGCGACGAUCAGUAGCCGACCUGAGAGGGUGACCGGCCACAUUGGGACUGAGACACGGCCCAAACUCCUACGGGAGGCAGCAGUGGGGAAUAUUGCACAAUGGGGGAAACCCUGAUGCAGCGACGCCGCGUGAGCGAUGAAGUAUUUCGGUAUGUAAAGCUCUAUCAGCAGGGAAGAAAUUGACGGUACCUGACUAAGAAGCACCGGCUAAAUACGUGCCAGCAGCCGCGGUAAUACGUAUGGUGCAAGCGUUAUCCGGAUUUACUGGGUGUAAAGGGAGCGUAGACGGAUAGGCAAGUCUGAAGUGAAACUCCGGGGCUCAACCCCGGAACUGCUUUGGAAACUGUUUAUCUAGAGUGCUGGAGAGGUAAGUGGAAUUCCUAGUGUAGCGGUGAAAUGCGUAGAUAUUAGGAGGAACACCAGUGGCGAAGGCGGCUUACUGGACAGUAACUGACGUUGAGGCUCGAAAGCGUGGGGAGCAAACAGGAUUAGAUACCCUGGUAGUCC
rnacentral:rRNA from 1 species